CUACGGGGCGCUGCAGUGGGGAAUAUUGGACAAUGGGCGCAAGCCUGAUCCAGCAAUACCGCGUGUGUGAAGAAGGCCCGAGGGUUGUAAAGCACUUUCAGUAGGGAGGAUUGAUUUUACGGAUAAUACCCGUGAAGUUUGACGUUACCUACAGAAGAAGCACCGGCUAACUCAGUGCCAGCAGCCGCGGUAAUACUGAGGGUGCAAGCGUUAAUCGGAAUUACGGGGCGUAAAGCGCGCGUAGGUGGUUAGAUCAGUUGGGUGUGAAAGCCCCGGGCUCAACCUGGGAACUGCAUUCAAUACUGUCUAGCUAGAGUACGGUAGAGGGAAGUGGAAUUCCGCAUGUAGCGGUGAAAUGCGUAGAGAUGCGGAGGAACACCAGUGGCGAAGGCGACUUCCUGGACCGAUACUGACACUGAGGUGCGAAAGCGUGGGGAGCAAACAGGAUUAGAUACCCUUGUAGUC
rnacentral:rRNA from 1 species